GACGAACGCUGGCGGCGUGCUUAACACAUGCAAGUCGAACGGAAAGGCCCUGCUUUUGUGGGGUGCUCGAGUGGCGAACGGGUGAGUAACACGUGAGUAACCUGCCCUUUACUUUGGGAUAACUUCAGGAAACUGGUGCUAAUGCCGGAUAGGAGCGCCUGCUGCAUGGUGGGGGUUGGAAAGUUUCGGCGGUUGGGGAUGGACUCGCGGCUUAUCAGCUUGUUGGUCGGGUAGUGGCUUACCGAGGCAUUGACGGAUAGCCGGCAUGAGAGGUUGACCGGGGACCAGGGGCCUGAGAGAGGGCGCAGACUCGUAUGGGAGGCAGCAGUGGAGAACAUUGUCCAGUGGGGGGAAGUGUGAGGAAGAAGUGCUGCGUGUGGGAUGACGGUCUUGUGGUUGGAAACCGCAUUCGCCUGUGACGAAGCGUGUGUGACGGUAAUAGGUAAAGAAGCACCGGCUAACUACGUG
rnacentral:rRNA from 1 species